GCUUGCCUCUCCCUCUUUCUUUGACGCGAACUAAAAGUCCAAUUAACAAGUCCAACAAGGAAACUCAAAUAACGAUCUGGAUCCAAUGUAACCCCAAGGAACACUUAAACAGCAAGAAUGCGAUGGGUAGAUCCAAUGUAUAAUGCCAAUUUUCACACUGAAAAGAACAGAAAGAAGUGAAAGGUAGCGAAAUGACCUUGUUUUUCAAUACUAUUAUUGAGUAUAAAAUAACGUACUCAUAUCAGGACCAGAAAUUGUAUAAUAAUAGAAUUUUGUACCCCCUGUUUUCCUGCAAACAGC